UCAGAGAGAGAAGUGUGAAAGAAUUGGUUUUGAAUUGCUUCCCAUGAACUGGGUAGUGAAUGCAAGGCUAUUUUCUUUUAUUUUGCGGUUCUGUUUCCUUCUCGAAUUGAUGGCUCUUGGGAUUUGUACUGUGAUGCAGGUUAUGGAUCUGUUAAGGCAAAAUAAGGAUACAUUUGUUUCUAUGGGCAAGGCAGCGAUAUCGAUGACCUUUAUGUGAAGCAAGUUACAACAAAUGCAAGUGUUGGUCACAUCUUCUGUUGCCAAAUUGCAAAACUCAUGAAGCACGACGGAAGAGACAUGGGAAAUCCUAGGACUAAGUUCCAACUUGGUAGUCAU